CGGCAAUCUGAAAAAAGGAAUUUGUUUUGGUUGUGUUCAAAGAAGUCUUUAAAAGGCAACUGAGUACAAAGUUAACAUUUGUGGUAUAGGGUCUCCGUGCUGUUCAUUGCGAAAGUUUUAUUACUUUAUUGUGACUUCUGACUGCUUCUUUCAGAAUUCUAUACUUCACGAGAUAAAUACCUCCAAAAAAUUUGCUUUGCCUAAUCACUUUAAAGUAUUCUAAAUAAUAAAAUUUGUAAUAAUGCUAACGAGGCCCGAUUUCUCUUAUUACAAACCAUCUAAAUGUUAAGCGGGGUAAAUUUCAAGAAUUUCGAGAAAAGGAAUUCCGAUAUACCUUAUUGAAAUUCAGCAAAUAUAUAUUUUUUUUAAAUUAAAAGGUAAUAAACAUAUUCGUUACAUGAAGAAAAAUAAUCUAUUUUGUUGUUUUAAUAAGCAAUAUUCAAAGGCUACAAUGAUGUACAAUUAUAUAUUCGCGUUCAAGAUCCCAAGAGGUAUUUUUGGUAAUAUGAUCGUUGAGGGUGUCCUAAACCAUACAAAAGAAUGAUCUAUAGUAGGAAUUAAAAUUAUUUAUGCAAGUAAAAUCCUUUCCAUGGUAAAAAGGAUAUAAAUUCAUUGAAAAUUAGAAAAAUAUAUGGUCGAAUAUAAGACAGCAAAUCAUGAAUUGUAAAUGCAGGCUGGAAGAGUAUCAUUCCUUAAAAAAAGUAAAUAAAUCGAUCAAAGGGUAAAAUAUAAACAUCAAAAUAUAUGAUUGAUAAGGAAACAAUCACAAUAGUAAUAAUGCAAAAUCACGCGUCACAACAUAUGUAUGUACGUAUUCAUACAUACAUUGGUAUCUAAUAUAAAAUAAUUCUGCAAAACAGACACACACAAAUAUGUAUGUACAUUGAUGCCAGGGUCAAAGUACAAAGUUAUGAAGAAACAUUUGCGAAAUUUUUGACUUGAAAUUUAGAAUACAAAUCGAAUUAGCAGAUAAUAGCACAAAAAUUAACAACAAUCGAAAAGGUGCCUAUAACUAAGCAGACACUAUUAUUAAAGGAGUUCAAAAAUAAUAUAAAAAUAAGAUUGAUGCCUUUUCAAGUUGAAUUCACGAUGGUCUUAAUUUACACACACAUAUACGUUUGCUAAAAUAUUGCACGUAGCUGUAGGUCCAAAUCUCUCAACACUUCAAGCAAUCGCUAGAAAAUCGUGAAAAACAACAUCUCUUUUAAAUUAAAACCAAAAAAAAGUUUAUACCUAUUGUAUCUCAAGAAAUGAAAUUUAAUCAUAAAACGUCAAAUCGAAUUUG